GAACGCUCCGCAAGGGGAGUGGCAGACGGGUGAGUAACGCGUGGGAACGUGCCCCAAGGUACGGAACAACUCCGGGAAACUGGAGCUAAUACCGUAUGUGCCCGAGAGGGGAAAGAUUUAUCGCCUUGGGAUUGGCCCGCGUCUGAUUAGCUAGUUGGUAGGGUAAUGGCCUACCAAGGCUACGAUCAGUAGCUGGUCUGAGAGGAUGGCCAGCCACACUGGGACUGAGACACGGCCCAGACUCCUACGGGAGGCAGCAGUGGGGAAUAUUGGACAAUGGGCGAAAGCCUGAUCCAGCCAUGCCGCGUGAGUGAUGAAGGCCUUAGGGUUGUAAAGCUCUUUCGGCGGGGACGAUAAUGACGGUACCCGCAGAAGAAGCCCCGGCUAACUUCGUG
rnacentral:rRNA from 1 species